rnacentral:rRNA from 1 species
UAAAAUAUAGAAAAUGUUUUACAUUUAUAAAAAAGAAGUUUCUUUGAUGUUCUUCUAGACAGAAAUGGACAAAUUUUAAUUUAUAUUAAAAGAUAAAUUCUUUGUACCUUUUGUAUCAGGGGAAUAGGAAAAAGUAAUAAAUAUUAUUUUCCCGAAAAAAGUUGAUUUUGGAUUAUUAUUUAGGUUUGUGUUACAUUAUUAUCUGAAAUAAAAUCUAGGAAGUGAAAAAUUAAUCGAAACUUUUGAUAUCUGGUUUUCUGGACAGUCUUACAGAGAUAGGUGGUGACAUUCAGCCAUUUAUUUACCAUGGGAUAAGCCUUGGUAUAAGGGGAAUUUCUGGUUAUAAACAUUUAUGUUUUUAAUUUUUAAUUUAUUUAUUUAAUCCCUUUUUGUCAGAAAAUACCCAAAAAUGUUUUUUGGGUACAUAAAAUCUAUUUAUUAGUAAAAUUGUGUGAUUCUUUUUAAGGAAUUCGGCAAAUUGAGCUUCUGCAUGUUUAAUAAAAACAUCUCCUCUUGAAAAUUUAGGAGGUAGUCUCUGCUCAAUGCUUUAUAGUUAAUAGCUGCGGAAAUUUAACCGUACUAAGGUAGCAUAAUAAUUUGGCUUUUAAUUGAAGUCUAGAAUGAAAGAGUUGACAAGAGGCUUUCUGUCUCUGAAAGAACGCUUUGAAAUUUAGGGUUUAGUCAAAACGCUAAAAAAUUUCAGAAGGACGAGAAGACCCUGUAGAUUUUUACACUUUAAGAAUUAACUGAUUCCGUACAGUGGUUACUUGGGACGAGUGGCUUAUAAAACAAGCUUUAAUCACUUAAAGCCCGCAGGCUUCUGUGAUCCGUUUUCACGAAACAGGAUUCAAUUACCUCAGGGAUAACAGCGUUAUUCUCUUCCUUAGACCUUAUGGGGAAGGGAGUUUACGACCUCGAUGUUGAAUUAAGCUGUCUCUUUAUAGAAGAAUAUAACAGAGUUAGACUGUUCGUCUAUUAAAAGCUUACAUGAUUUGAGUUUAGACCGACGUGAGUCAGGUCAGAUUCUAUCCUCUGAAACCCAAAACUAACUCAAGUACGAAAGGA